GGCGGAAUACCAAGCGUCUUGUGAAAUCCCUCGGCUCAACCGAGGAAUUGCAGGCCGAACUGGUAUUCCUGAGGCAGGUAAGGGUGAGUGGAACUCUUGGUGGACCGGUGGAAUGCGUAGAUAUCAAGAGGAACGCCGGAGGUGAAGACGACUCACUGGGCCUGUCCUGACGCUGAGGUGCGAAAGCCAGGGGAGCGAACGGGAUUAGAUACCCCGGUAGUCCUGGCCAUAAACGAUGUCCACUAGGUCGAUGACAUUCUGACAUGGUGUCGGCCGAAAGAAAACCGUUAAGUGGACCGCCUGGGGAGUACGGUCGCAAGGCUAAAACUCAAAGGAAUUGACGGGGGCUCACACAAGCGGUGGAGCAUGUUGCUUAAUUCGAUGCAACGCGAAGAACCUUAUCCUGGGCUUGACAUGCUUGGAUGCCCCCCUGGAAACAGGGAUCGGCUGCCCUUCGGGGUGAAACUUGCACAGGUGCUGCAUGGCUGUCGUCAGCUCGUGUCGUGAGAUGUUGGGUUAAGUCCCGUAACGAGCGAAACCCUUGUCGUUAGUUGCCAGCGGGUCAUGCCGGGGACUCUAACGAGACUGCCGGUGUCAAACCGGAGGAAGGUGGGGAUGACGUCAAGUCCUCAUGGCCUUUAUGCCCAGGGCCGCAAACGUGCUACAAUGGCUGGUACAAACCGACGCGAGACCGCGAGGUGGAGCAAAUCGGAAAAAGCCAGCCCCAGUUCGGAUUGCAGUCUGCAACUCGACUGCAUGAAGUCGGAAUCGCUAGUAAUCGCGCAUCAGCGUGGCGCGGUGAAUAUGUUCCUGAGCAUUGUACACACCGCCCGUCAAGUCAUGGAAGCUGGGAGCACCACGAAGUCGUGGACAAUUCAGUCCUGCCGAAGUGAGCUCGGUGACUGGGACUAAGUCG
rnacentral:rRNA from 1 species